AGCUGGCUGGCUUAGUAGAUAGAGCAUGCGACUCUUGAUCUUGUGGUUGUGAGUUCAAGCCCCACGUUAGAUG
rnacentral:tRNA from 1 species